rnacentral:rRNA from 1 species
AAUUAGGUAUGUGUUGAUAUUAUUCUUCUAUACUCUUUUUGUUUAUUGAUUAGUUAUCUUUGAAUUUGGAUCACUUGUAUAGCAUUUCAACGGUUCCGAAUCGUUUACUUUGAAGAAAUUAGAGUGUUCAAAGCAGGCAUAACCUAGCCAUGAAUACAUUAGCAUGGGAUAAUAAAAUAUGACCUCGGUCUUAUUUUGUUGGUUUCUAAGGCUAAGGUAAUGAUUAAUAGGGAUAGUUGGGGUCACUCGUAUUGAAUUGUCAGAGGUGAAAUUCUAGGAUCUAUUCAAGACGAACUACUGCGAAAGCAUUUGACAAGGAUGUUUUCAUUAAUCAAGAACGAAAGUUGGGGGAUCGAAGAUGAUCAGAUACCGUCGUAGUCUCAACCAUAAACUAUGUCGACUUAGGAUUCGAAGAUGUUACAUGGAUGACUCUUCGAGCACUAUGUGAGAAAUCACAAGUAUUCGGACUCCGGGGGGAGUAUGGUCGCAAGGCUGAAACUUAAAGGAAUUGACGGAAGGGCACCACCAGGAGUGGAAUCUGCGGCUUAAUUUGACCCAACACGGGAAAACUUACCAGGUCCGGAUGUUAGAAGGAUUGACAGAUUGAGAGCUCUUUCUUGAUUUAGCAGUAGGUGGUGCAUGGCCGUUUUUAGUUGGUGGAGUGAUUUGUCUGGUUAAUUCCGUUAACGAACGAGACCUUAACCUAUUAAAUAGUUGCGCGAACUUGAAUCAUGCGUCAUGUUAUCUUCGGAUAAUGUUUCCUCCAUGGUUCUAUCGUUCUGUGAAAACUUCUUAGAGGGACUCAUUACAUUUAUAGUAAUUGGAAGUUUGAGGCAAAAACAGGUCUGUGAUGCCCUUAGAUGUUCUGGGCUGCACGCGCGUUACACUGACAUGUUCAACGAGUUUUUCGUCCUUGCCCGAAAGGGUUUGGGUAAGCUUAUAAGUGCAUGUCGUGAUGGGGAUAGUGCCUUGCAAUUAUUGCACUUGAACGAGGAAUUCCUAGUAGGCACGCUUCAUCAAAGCGUGCCGAUUACGUCCCUGCCCUUUGUACACACCGCCCGUCGCUCCUACCGAUUGAAUGGUCCGGUGAGGAUUCAGGAUGGAUGUUUGGUUAAUGGUUUAUUCCAUUUUCCACCGAUGACCGAAAGGUUUAUCGAACUGCGUUCAAAAUUUAUUCAAACCUUACCAUUUAGA